GAAUAUCAUUAUUAUUAUUAUAACAAGAAAUUUUAUCUAAAGGUUAUAAAUUAGAAUAACUAAAUAAAUAGGGAAACUAUAUAUAUAAAGAAAUAUACAGUUUAGUUUGAUAUGUGAGUAAAGCAAAUAGUAACCAAAACUAAUAAUUAAGGUAAAAGUACGUUUCUCGAAUUAGACCUCUAAUGUAGAAUUUUCUUAUUAUGUUAGAUGUUUAUAAGUUCCGAAAGGUGGAGACAAAUGCUAGAAGCGUGCAAUAAUAAAGAUAGUCCUUUAAAGGACAAUAAAAAACUGU